ACCUGUAUCAACACUCUUUCCCUACAGACGUCCUUCCCUCCUCGGCGGUCCCCCUUCCGCCCUCCCUGGGGCCCCCUCGUGGGCGUCCGCGGGCCGCCUCAGGCCGCACAAGUCUUUGAACCACCGCCUUCCCCGGGCCGCGAGGCUCGCGGAGAGCGCUAGGUACCUGGCUCCUGGGUGAGGGAAACGGUUCCGAUCCCUCUGGGGCGUCCCUCCCCGCCGCCGCCACCCUUCCCCGCCUACCCGGGCGGGCAGGCGGGUCGAGCGACGGACGG